rnacentral:rRNA from 1 species
AGUGAACGCUGGCGGUAGGCCUAACACAUGCAAGUCGAACGGCAGCAUAGUAAGAGCUUGCUCUUACGGGUGGCGAGUGGCGGACGGGUGAGGAAUACAUCGGAAUCUACUUUUUCGUGGGGGAUAACGUAGGGAAACUUACGCUAAUACCGCAUACGACCUACGGGUGAAAGCAGGGGAUCUUCGGACCUUGCGCGAUUGAAUGAGCCGAUGUCGGAUUAGCUAGUUGGCGGGGUAAAGGCCCACCAAGGCGACGAUCCGUAGCUGGUCUGAGAGGAUGAUCAGCCACACUGGAACUGAGACACGGUCCAGACUCCUACGGGAGGCAGCAGUGGGGAAUAUUGGACAAUGGGCGCAAGCCUGAUCCAGCCAUACCGCGUGGGUGAAGAAGGCCUUCGGGUUGUAAAGCCCCUUUGUUGGGAAAGAAAAGCAGCAGGUUAAUACCCCGCUGUUCUGACGGUACCCAAAGAAUAAGCACCGGCUAACUUCGUG